AUUAGGCUUUUGAGGGGCCUACCUCCAUGGGAUCGCCUUGUCACUCUUGUAAAGGAAAGGGACAGGCUUCUUAACCGGGAUAGGCUGGAAGCCUUAAGGCUUUUGGGUGGCAUCAUCUCUGGUGAAGUGGAUCACCAAUGGUUUGGGCUUGCUCGGGCUUUUGUUAGCCGAUUGCAUGCACGCAUGUUGCUCCCCGUGCUUGUCCCACCAACUUCAAACCGGCCUUAAUCCAUUAUCCUUUGCAGCAAAUCCUUUGCCACAGGGCAUACUUCUACGUCGUGCGCCGCCC
rnacentral:misc_RNA from 1 species